GCAGUCGUGGCCGAGUGGUUAAAGCGAUAGACUAGAAAUCUAUUGGGAUCUUCCCGCACAGGUUCGAAUCCUGUCGACUUCG
rnacentral:tRNA from 1 species